GGGGAUGUAAAGGUUUCGACGGGGGUUUUGAACCUUGGUAAGCGAGUAGCGGCGCGGAACCGCUAUAAAAUCCGCAACUUAAAAAUAACUGACAACACUAAAGUUGCAUUAGCUGCGUAAGCGGCUUGUCUCUCGGGAGAGCACCGCGGCUCCCGUUGAGGCAUGGACACAGCGGUAAAUGUGAACACGGGCUUGCCUCAGUCCGUGUCAUAACGCAGAGGCUACCGAGGUAAUCAGCCUGUUAUUGGGCGGUUUACAGAGGGAAAUCCAAUACAAUAACUACACUCGUAGAAAACCUUGGGAACAGACUUUCGGACAGGGGUUCAAUUCCCCUCAUCUCCACCA
rnacentral:tmRNA from 1 species